UACGGAGGGGGCUAGCGUUGUUCGGAAUCACUGGGCGUAAAGGGCGCGUAGGCGGCUUUAUAAGUCGGGGGUGAAAGCCUGUGGCUCAACCACAGAAUUGCCUUCGAUACUGUAGAGCUUGAGACCGGAAGAGGUAAGUGGAACUGCGAGUGUAGAGGUGAAAUUCGUAGAUAUUCGCAAGAACACCAGUGGCGAAGGCGGCUUACUGGUCCGGUUCUGACGCUGAGGCGCGAAAGCGUGGGGAGCAAACAGG
rnacentral:rRNA from 1 species